GUCCAACUGAUGAGUCCGAAUAAGAACGAAACACGUGUCUUGGGC
rfam:Asian citrus Psyllid, Diaphorina citri - Florida Strain, whole genome shotgun sequence.